CAGCUAAUUCUCCUCUUCAUUCUCUACAUUUACUAAACUUUUGCUUCUCCAACUCACAAAUAUAUAAUAUGGGUUCAUCCAAAAUUGUUUUCAGUGUGAUGUUAUUGUUAAGUUUGGUCAUGGCCAGCACUUUGGUAUCAGCUGCUCGUCAAUUGAAUGAAACUCCAAAGUUCGGGGACCAAAAUGCAAAUGCAAAAAGUUUGGAAGACAAGAAAUUUUUUCUUCCAUUUCCAUCACCACUUCCACAACUCCCUCCAUUUCCAUUCCCAUUUACGCAGACUCUUCCCGGGCUUCCUCCAAUGUCACUCCCUGCUCUACCUAAUUUCUUCACGCCUCCUCCAAGAGACUGAAGAUCGUCCGUUUAGACGAUUAAUCGCGCUUCUUUGUGAACUUUUAUUUGGUUUGCAUUUUGCAUGUUGUGGUUUUACUGUAUUUGUAUGGUCAGCUAAAUGCUUUCCAUAAUUUGUUCUGUUUGUUUUACUCUUGAAAUAAUUUGUAUUAGCUGUGACCAAUAAAAGUCUAUGUCAGACGAUUAUGUUUGUAUGUCAGAUUAGUGUAUUUUAAUAUUUUUUCAUGAAAUGAAAGAGAUUAAAUAUCGUCCAUCGAUUCAUCCCAACUUAAUUUGUGGUAAACUCUCGGCUUUACUAUUGUAACGAUACUGCGUACAGUGAAGAUGCUGGUAAAAAAACAGAAUAGCUCUAUUGCCGGGUGUUAAGUGACUAAUUUUUUUAGAUUAUGGGGAGCUGAGAUUGAGCUUUGAUACCAUGGUGAGAACGGUUCACCUAAUAUUUCUUGUGAGGAGGGCUUACCAUAAUUAUAUUAUAUUUUAACAACUAUGAUAUCUUCAGAGAUUCAAAAACAUUUCUGACUCCCACAAUCUCUCUCUUGUGUCUUUGAGACAAAAUUAAUUUGAGAAUAUUUUUUACAAAAAGUAACCCACAGGAACAUUCGACCUAGUAACUCAAAUGAUCAUUUGAUUGCGUUUGGAAAUAUGUAUUUCAUUUCGAAUGACAUAAUUUGAAUUGUCAUAUAAAUUCUUAAGUUUAUACUAACAUCUGAGUGUCCGAGAUUUUUAAUAAAAUCCAGUCACGGACCACAUUGUAGGUUAUGGGGAUGGACCCCAGCCAACUUGCAGCCCAGACUUAUAUAUAUGAUAGACAAAUACAAGUACCCCUCCUAAUAUUAAUACGGGAGAAGUGCAUUAUAUAAGUAUUUUAUCAAAACCCAUCAAAAUUAUAAUUGGACUAGUUUAUAGAAGGUGAAGUAAUGUACAAUGUGUAAUAGAACAGUUUUCAUCUAUCAUGUUGCCUUUAAACUUUCUUUUGUUAGUUACUGUGCCCCUGUAAAAUUUAUUCCUUGGUCUCACUGAUGAAAUCCAAUUUUAUGUGCGUAUCCAAACAUGUCAUCUGAUUAAAUCCAGCAUUCGAAACGAAAUUCUAAGUUCUCAAACAGACACGUCUAAACAAUAAAAGUGAAAUGAAAUUGGAUGCAAGACACUAUCAACUAGCUCUUAUCUGAAAAUGCAAGUUCCUGUUUUUCUUGAAUGCUUGAACAUAGCCAGUACUUCUGUCAAAGGUGUGCUGUGUAUUAGUAUAUAACUACAAGCACACCAUGAUUGAAUGACGAAUAUUGUUAACAGCCAGAACUGAGGAGGAUAAUCAUAUUUUGCUAUAUCUCAUUCCCAGUUCUACACUUCUUUAACAAUAAUUCAGUCAAAUACUCUAUAUUUUAAGUUAUUAUACUUUCAUAAAAGGCGUAGCAGCUAAUCCAUUUGUUUUGAAUGGCGCAGAAUUUUCUAGUUUGAUGAAAGGCACAUGAAAACUAUGUUCAGCAUGUUAAUUGUAGCGUUACCAAAUUAAUCAUUCAGAGACAGUAACUUAAGCAGCCUUUCCAAUUUCUACCUAUUCAUCAUGCGUAAAUCUAGCAAGUGACUCUAGUUCAAGGAUAUAAUAACCGAAUCUGUACAGUUAUUCUUUCAUCCUACAGAAUUGCUCAGUUUUUCAAAAGGUAGUACUAAGUAGUGUUAGGUUAGUAAAUCAUGUAUCAUGUGUUACGAAUGUGAGCCCUAAUGUGAGCACUUUGAAUCUGUACCAGAGCCGUCUUGUACAGUUAGGAGUCUCAAUACAAAAUUUAAAAAGCAGCUCAAUAGAAUUGACUGAUUGCCAAACGACAGUAAUGGUUGUUCCAGGUUUUGUUGCUCUGGACCCAACGGCCUCCUGUUAGCUGUCUAUGCUAUUUCUGCAGAUGAAUUUGCGAGCAGUAUUUUAUUUCUUGUAUAUCAGUUCCAACAAAAAGUGCACUCACUUUGACUUAAAUUUAUAUUACUACUGUCCAAUUGCCAGCAGACAUGAUUAAAAUGCUGCUAAUCUACCAAUAAUAUUUUUCAAAUUAGGUGCAGAUUAACGGUGAUUCAUAUAUUACUGAAAUCUUUAAAUGAAUUACAAGGUGGCACAGCAUUGUCUGUCUACUACUCUACUAUAUAAAGCCAGGCAUCCGUCUAAUACUUACCAUAAGCAACCAUUGGAUCACUAAUUAAUCCUUCCCAUUCUCUUCCUUGUUUACAUUCUAUUUUUUUUGCGUUUUCAACUCACGCAUAAUGGGUUCAGCUAGAAUUGUUUUCAGUGUCAUGUUAUUGUUGAGUUUGGUACUUAUGAUCAGCACUUUCGCAUCAGCUGCCCGUCAAUUGAACGAAACUCCAAAGUUCAGGGACCAAAAUGCAAAUUCUGAAAAGACGAGUGGUGAAAUUGGAAAUGAAGCAAAUGACAAAACUCUGGAUGAUAAGAAAUUUUUUCUUCCAUUUCCAUCACCAGAUUCACCACUCCCUGAACUCCCUCCAUUUCCAUUUCCAUUUCAGAAUCUUCCAGGGUUUCCACCAAUGUCACUCCCUGCUCUACCAAAUUUCUUCACACCUCCUCCGCGGAACUAGAAGAUUGUCCACUUAUACAAUUAUUUGUGGUUCUCUGUAAACUUUUAUCUGGUUUACAAUUUGCAUGUUGUGUUCUUUACUGUACUACAUUUUUCUUUCUGUGCUUUCACGCAUUUUGUCAUGUUUGAUUUAAUUAUAAGAUUUGCAAUUUGUGUUUCUUGUGAUCAAUAGAAGUAAUGUCAAGUAUUUUUCACAUUUUUUGAUUCUGGCAUUAAUAAAUAUCCAUAAGUGUCAAGAAAUAAAGAAAUCCGUACUUUAUACUGUGCUACAUAAAA
rnacentral:lncRNA from 1 species